rnacentral:lncRNA from 1 species
GUGUGUGUCCUCUCAUAUGACCUUCAACUUAGAUACGAUUUUACUGUACAUGAUGCUUGCAGAACUAUUUAGUAAGACCUAAUUCAUGUGCUUCGGUCUAUUCUUUUGUGUUACCCUCCAGUAUAGUUCUGUAUUAUCUAGAUAUAAAGAUAUAUUUCUGUAGCUUACUACAUCUGUCUAGAUCAUGUAAUUUGCUCAUCCACUGC